UGGCAAUGAUGAAAGAAAGGCCGGACUUACAGCUGCCACCCUAGUGGUUGGUAGUAGGUUGAUGAAAAGUUCUAUAUAAGGUUAUUUCUGAGCUGG
rnacentral:snoRNA from 2 species